rnacentral:lncRNA from 1 species
UACAUUCUCUUCCCUUUACUUGAGCUCAACUGUGGUAGCUGUUUCCAAGAUCAUUCUCUGUUGUUCUUCUGCUUCUUGACUUUCCCAUUCAUUCUUGAAGCUGGACUGCAAUCUAAGGUAGAAUUCAUGAAUUUUAACUAUUGAUUGAUAUAUGAUUUUCUUACUUAUUUGUUUCGGAGCUUUAGUUUUUUUCUUAGUGGGAUUGUCCAAUUGAUAUCUGUAAAUUUUUAUGAUUCAUGUGAACCCUUUAUGCCUGGGAACGCAAUUUAUUGUGGAUGUUACUCUCUAUUUUAGGGUUAGUUGUUUAAGUAAAAGUGGCUUUUGAUAGUGGGUCGAUGAAUAUGAAAUUGGUGGGGUGAAAUGAAAACAAGAUUUAAUCUGGUUAUGCAUUUCGAAUACUAAAAAAUAAAGUACCUAGAGUGGUAAUAGUUAGUGAAAUAAUAAGAGUUAGACAAAUGGUUGAAGUAAUUCCAUUUCAAACAGUCCAAUAUUGGAUGUCUCUGUAAUACUUUGAACCAUUUAUUAACAUUGCAGUGAAAAUGAUAAAAACGUUUACUCCUUUGCAAUUAAGUAAUUGGAGCCUGGAAGGAGCUAUGGAGCAGGAGUUAGGUGGAAUGUAUAUCAAUACCAAGGAAAUGCUGAUUAAGUUUGAGUUCUUUGACAUGUGGGUUUCCCUUAAAAAAAUAAGAGUUGUCAGAACCUUAUGCUGAGAGAAAUGCGAGUCCGGAACCUAAAUGUUGCUAUUUUUGAUUCAAGAGGACAAAAUAGGUGGAAAAAAGGGAUAAGCAUAAUUUUAUAUAUAGCGCAUGUUUUUACAUGCGCUAUACCUUAAUGGCCAGUUAUCCCGUUAAGGUAUAGCGCAUGUAAUACAUGUGUUAUACUCAAUAUUUGAACAUCCAUAAUAAUUUACUGUAUAGCGCAUGUAAUAUAUGCGCUAUGUGUACAACGCAUAUAUUACAUGCGCUAUACUGAACAAUUGCCAUCCCUAAGCAUUGGAUAGUUGCUUACUUAAGGCCGAACAUUCAUUCUUGAAAAAAUCAUUCUUGAGUGAAUUUGAACCAAUUUACCUUUGUUCUUCGGCAUCCUUUAUACAUCACUUCAUCUUCUUCAAUAUAUACCUUUUCUCUUUGAAUCUUGCUACAAUAUCUAAUGAGCGAAAAUUUAGAGUUGCAUCAUAUUGGGGCGGUGAGGCUGUGGUGGGGAAUAACUCGGUACACUAUAGUUGUUCUCCAAAGAGUAUUGUUAAGGUGCCACUCAUGUCGGAGUACGACAAAUGCAUAUAUUUGAUUUGUAAAAGAAUGAGCGUGAGUAAACGUUUGGUUAAUCUUAAGGUAACUGAAAGAUAUCCGUAUUCGCUUACUCCGCAAGAUGCUGCUUGUUAUGCCGAGUUUAACAUCGAUGAUGAUGAAAAUCUACAAGAUUUUUUGAGGACUCCAGAUAAACAUUGGAAUGUUUUUGUGUUAAGAAUGCUGGAAAUGUACGUAAAGUCUGAAGACGUCAACAAUAUUGAUGUUUCGCAAAAUAUGGCUAGCAUUCAAUUAUCUGGUGGUUCAGAGAUGUUUUAUCCUAGCAGGUUCCAUAUGAAAGAAUCUGGCAAGAUCUAAACUUAUCUCCAUGGGUUAAUGAGGAGCGAGGACAUAAUUACUCCCCAAUGCAGCAGCGUGAAGGGUCGGCAAGUUUACAGAAUUCACAGGCCGAGUGAUAAAUUGCAAUUUUCCAUGUUUUAGUAUAACUAUUUCUUUUAUGUAUCAUAAUCGUACUAACUCUUAUAUCUUUCAUAGUGGGUUACCAGCCAGAUAUGAAUUUUACAAGUUAUGAACCAACCAAUAGUUGGAAUAUACCUAAUUUUGGAGGGGUGGAUCAUGCUGGUCCAUCCUCGAGUCAUCAACAACUCGAUAAUGUGUAUCAUGGGCUAUCUACAAAUUAUGAUGGUAUGUUUUAAGAGUUAAAGUUAAUAUAGUAUGUUGAGGUGGCUUCGAAAUAUUAAUUAUUUUAUUGGUUGUGCAGUGAAAAUGAGCAAUAUGACGGUCUUGUCCUAACUUAGUUGGGUGAUGACUAUAUAUUGAAUCAGGAUAUGGCAGAUGCACAGAGUGAGGAAGAUAACAAUAAUUAUGGCGACGACACUGAUGAGUCCAAAGAUGUCACACCCUUCCCUGAUGAGAGCGACGGUGAGGAACCACACUUUACAGAUGAGAGUGAGAAUGAGCAAUCAGAUUUGACGAUGGAGCAUGAUGCCAUAACUCAACAUGCUCCGUAUACGUAGACUCCACCUACUGUUAGAUCAACGAUGUACGAGUUGUGUGUGCCCUUUCAUUCAAGGAAAAUUCCCUACCUUGAUCACUUGCCAAGUAUGCCGAUGUUGAUGCUUUCACAAGGGGUCUUGAUGACAUUCGUACAACAAUGUGGAAUAAAAGUAGACAAAUAGAGCUUUGUAAGAAUAUAAUUUUCGGUGAUAAGGCUCGCCUCAGCAGGGCGGUGCGAAUUUACAGCAUAAAAAACUGCCGUGAGAUUGAGGUUGCUGAGUCAUCUAAGAAAAAAUAUAAGGUGGUUUGUCGUAGAUGGGAUCAAAGUUGUAAGUGGAUGCUGCGUGGGAGAAAGUUGAAAACUAAUAUGUGGAUGGUGGGGAAAUACAUUGGCAAGCAUACUUGUAAUAUGAACACAUUCAAUGGGAAUCAUUUUAAUUUGAACGUUGAUUUGAUUUCCUUUAUCUUGAUUCCACACAUUUAAUCGUCCAUAAGGUACGAGGUGAAAUAGUGUAUAACAUCAGUUGCACAUGUAUAUGGGUGUACCAUUACCAAAAGAAUGGCAUUUCUCGGGUGUAAGUGUGCGUUUGAGAUUGUUUAUGGAAACUGUGAUAAGUCAUUUACGGCUCUACCUUGGUGCAUGGCUGCUUUGCAACACAUGAACCCCGGGACAUUUGUUGAGUGGAAGCACGACCGGAGUCCUGACUUUCUACAAAACUUAUUCAGAUAUGUGUUCUGGGCAUUUAAACCAUCCAUUGAUGGUUUUGUUCAUUGCCGCCCGUUCAUCUCCAUAGACGGCAUACAUAUGUGCGGAAAGUAUGAUAUGAAGAUGUUGAUUGCCGUUGGAGUAGAUGCUAAUGGCCAAAUAUUUCUCAUUGCCUUUGCUAUUUGUGCCAAUGAAAGUCAAGAGACUUGGACAUGGUUUAUAAACCACUUGGAGGAGCAUGUUGUGAAACAACGUUCAGGUGUUUGUCUAAUAUCUGAUCGGUACGGUGGGAUUUUAAGUUCUGUACGUGCUUUGGAUGAAUGGAAGGAGCUAUACGGCUACUACCAUUACUGUGUUAGGCACUUGAAGGCCAACUUCCAGCGGGCUUAUCCGAACAAGAGCUUGCAUGAUCUAAUGUGGAUCGCUACAACAGAUCAUCAAGAGAGGAAAUUCUUGAUGCAAAUGGAAUUCAUUAGUCAGGAAGACGAAGAAGCUUAUCUUUGGUUGAGGAAUCUUGAGAUUGAGAAGCGGACUCUGCAUAAGGAUGAUGGCAGAAGAUAGAGAAUUUUGAUACUAAUGUCUCAGACUCUUUCAAUUGGUUGUUGAAGUCAGACCGUGGAUUGCCAGCCACUGCCAUUGUGCGGAUGCCAUUCAAGCAGCCGGCGGAGAGGUUCGUUGAUAGAUUCCGCAGUGCAUCCUCCUUGUUGGAAAUGGGUGUUCAAAUUAUGCCAAAACCGAUGCAACAGUUUGAGCGUUAUAGGAAGCGGUGACAGUGGCAUACAUAUUUGCAAUAUUGCAGUGACCGAAAUAUUUUUGAAGUUCGCAUUGGUUUGCAUCGAGGCCGCGGUAAUAAUACCCACACCAUCAAUGAGAGCACGCGAUUAUGUUCAUGUGGUAAAUAGUCGAUUUAUCACUUGCCAUGCUCUCAUGCCUUGAAGUGCUUUCUACAUACUGGGUUUGUAGCGAUGAGGUAUGUUGAUAGAGAAUAUAGUGUGGCUGCAUACGCAAACACCUAUAGCGGACACUUCCACCCAUUGGGUUCUGAGUCUUAUUGGUCGCGGGAUCCAUUUGUAAUGUUUUGUAACAAGGCGUUUUUGCGUUGCAGGGUAGUGCAAAACAGAACCCGGCGGUUACAGAACCAAAUGGAUGUUGGGGAUACCGUAUAUGCGCUUAAAUGUGGUCUCUGUUCCCAAAUAGGACACGAUCACUGUAAAUGUCCUACAAUCGGUUUGGGACGCGGUGGCAAUUCAGCUUCUUGUGGCAGUUCAUCCAACAUUGACAAUUAUCAGGCAUAUUAUUUAUUUUUUUAGUAGUAUAUUUAGUAGGAAUAAGUGUCUGUAAUGGUAUGUUUGCAAUAUCAAUAAAAUAAAGUUGUCCAAUAGUGUUAACUCUGAUUGACACUUAGCAUUUAAAAUUCAAUAUGAAUGUCUCGGGGUUAAAGUGUUGCAAAGCAGUCAUGUACCUUGGCCGAGCCGCAAAUGACUUAUCCUAGUUGCCAUAAACAAUCUCAAACGCACGUUUACGCCCGAGAAAUGCCUUUCUUUUGGUAAUGGUACACCCAUAUACUUGCGCAACUAAUGUUAACACUCAUUCACCUUGUACCUUAUGGACGAUUCAACGUGUGGAAUCAUGACAAGGGAAAUCAAAUCAACGUUCAAGUUAAAAUGAUUCUCAUUGAAUGUGUCCAUAUUACAAGUAUGCUUGCUAAUGUAUUUCCCCACCAUCCGCAUAUUAGUUUUCAACUUUUUCCCAUGCAGCAUCCACUUGUAACCUUGGUCCCAUCUACGACAAACCGCCAUAUAUAUUUUCUUAGAUGACUCAGCAAGCUCGAUCUCAUGACAGUUUUUUAUGCUGUAAAUUCACACCGCCUUGCUGAGACCAACCUUGUCACCGAAAACAUAUUCUUAUAGUGCUCUGUUGGUCUACUUUCAUCCCACAUUAUUGUACGAAUGUCAUCAAGAUCGCUUGUGAGAGCAUCCACAUUUGGCAUAUUUGACAAGUGAUCAAGGUAGGGAAUCUCCCUCGAAUGAAAAGGCGUGCGACUCAUACACCGUUUGUCUAACGGUGGUGGAGUCUGCAUAUAUGGAGCAUGCUGAGUUGUGACAUCAUGCUCCAUCGUCAAAUCUGGUUACUCAUUCUCACUCUCAUAUGUGAAGUGUGGUUCCUCAUCGUCGCUCUCAUUAGGGAAGGGUGUGUCAUCUCCGGACUCAUUAGCGUUGUUGUGAUAAUCACUGUCAUCUUACUCACUCUGUGCAUAUGCCAUAUCCUAAUUCAAUAUAUCGUUAUCGCCCAACUGGCAACUGAGUUAGGACAAGUCCGUCAUGUUGCUUAUUUUCACUGCAAAACCAAUAAAGUAAUUAAUAUUUCGGAGCCAUCUCAACAUAAUAUAUUAACUUUAACUCUUAAAUGUACCAUUCAUAAUUUGUAGAUAGCCCAUGAUGCACAUUAUCGAGUUGCUGAUGACUCGAGGAUGGACCAGCAUGAUCCACCCUUCCAAAAUUAGGUAUAUUCUAACUAUGAGUUGGUUCAUAACUUGUAAAAUUCAUAUCUGGCUAGUAUCCCCUAUGAAAGAUAUACGAGUUAGUACGAUUAUGAUACAUAAAAGAAAUAGUUAUACUACAACAAGAAAAAUUGCAAUUUACCGCUCGACCUGUGAAUUCUGUAAACUUGGCGACCCUCCAUGCUGCUGCAUUGGGAGAAAUUAUGUCCUCGCUCAUCAUUAACCCAUGGAGAUAAGUUUAGAUCUGGCCAGACUCUUUCAUACGGAACCUGUUCGGAUAAAACAACUCCGAAAACACCACCAGAUGGUUGAGUUUUAGCCAUAUUUUGCGGAACAUCAAUACUGUUGACGUCUUCAGACUUUACGUACAUUUCCAGCAUUCUUAACACAAGAACAUCUUUGUGUUCAUCUGGAGUCCUUAAAAAAUCUUGCAGAGUUUCAUUGUCAUCGAUGUUAAACUCGGCAUAACAAGAAACACCUAGCAGAGUAAGCGAAUAUGGAUAUCUUCCGGUUACCUUAAGAUUAAUUGAAUGUUUAUUCACACUCAUUCUGUUACAAAUCAGAGGUACCAAUUCGUCGUACUUCAAUGUUAGUGGUACCUUAACAAUACUCUGUGGAGAAUAACUAUAUUGUACUUAGUUAUUCUCCACCACAGUCUCAACGCCCCAAUAUAAUGCAACCCUAUUUUUUAGCUCAUCUGACAUUGUAGCAAGAUUCAAAGAGAAAAUGUAUGUAUAUAUUGAUGAAAAUGAAGUGAUAUAUAAAGGAUGCUGAAGAACAAAGGUAAAUUGGUUCAAAUUCACUCAAGAAUGAACGUUUGGCCUUAAGUAAGCAACUAUCCAGUGCUUAGGGACGGCUAUUGUUCAGUAUAGCGCAUGUAAUAUAUGCGCUGCACACAUAGCGCAUAUAUUACAUGCGUUAUACAGUAAUUAUUAUGGCUAUUCAAAUAUUGAGUAUAACGCAUAUAUUACCUGACACAAUAGGCAAAUGAUGACUUCGCAAUGUCUGCAAAGAAGAAUAAAUAAUGUGAAGUAGCUUGUCAGGUGAGAGACUUUAUCUCUAAAUUUCAUUCCUAUGACAUACACGAUUACAUCAACGGGUAUUCUAAAACCUAUAAAUAUGUCUCUGCCCCUCAUUUGUAGAUCAUCUCAUCAAAAUUUGUUCUUUUCUCUUCAGCAAUAAAACCUAUUCUCUGUAUGGUCAUAGAGUAGGCAAAAAUUGCCGAACCACGUAAAUCUUGUCCUGUCUUGUGGAAUUUAUUGAUUUUCUCUUAUAAUUAUUUUUCUUCUAUUAGCCUGACACGCUUCUCUUUGUAUUAGUCUGAACCAUUCAUGAACAUUACAAUGAAAAUGGCUAAAACAUUUACUAAUAUAUAAUUAAGUAUCGGUAUAGGAGCUACCAAGUUGGAGUUAGGUGGAAUGUAGUGUACUGAUUACAAACAAGAAGCAAUACCAAGGAUAUGCUAAUUAAGUUUGAGUUCUUUGACAUGUGGGUUUCCAUGAAAAAAAAGAAGAGUUGUUAGAACCUUAUGGUCAGUGUUAUCAAAGGCGAAAAGCGCAAAAAAGCUCGUUGGUCCUUUGGGGCUUUAAGUGGCGCAUAUAAAGCGUGAGCUUUAAUGAAGAAAGACUCAAAUGGAGAAAAUUAAAAUAAUGUGUGGGUAGUCCAACACUAAUAAUAAUACACAUGAAUAACAAAUAUAUGGACAAAUAAAUUGAAACAAAAUUAUGAUAAUGUGAAAUAUCAAUUGUCUAGUAUCGCCUCUUCAGGAUUCACUCAUUGGCAAGGAAAAGUAUGUCUUAGAGCCUUGAUGACAAUACUGAAGCGCACGCUAAGCAAAGUGAAGCAGAGCGCUCAACAUGUUUUGCCUCGCUUAAGCGUUUUAAGCGCGCACUUGACAACACUGCUUAUGCUGAGAGAAGAUGAGUGUGAUACAUAGCAUCAAGUUAAAACUCAUGUUUGUGUAACAAGUGGUUUUGAAAACAAGAGAGAAAAUGGAGGAAUUGACAUAUCUUGACUACAAGUAAGAGGACAGUGUGUUGCAGUACACUAUAAAAGGGCAGCCCGGUGCACUAAGCUCUCGCUAUGCGCGGGGUCCGGGGAAGGGCACUAUGAAUCACCUUGUUUAUCAUUUCUACGUAAUCACAUUGACAAUUUGAUCUUUUUCUUUUACUUCAACACACUUCUUAGUCGCUGAGUGACAACCCACUUCAGAGGAAACUCUGGGAUAAUUUGCUCCAUCAGGAAUCAAAUGUGAGGCAAUUGUCAAGUUCUAGAGCAGUUUCUUUUUGGACUUAAUUAGAGUGUGUCUUAACAUUAUAGUUUUAUUAAUUGUUGUGUCAAGUACUAAAUCUUCUCUAGCUUUGGCUAACCAAAUUCUCGUAUUUGAUCCUUGAUCUAUGCAUUAACUGAAAAAGGAGGAUAUUGAACCUCUUAGUAAGCUAGUUUUAGAGGAUUAGUUCGGUAAGUUUACGUCCUCAUGGUAUAAUAUGGAGCCGCUCCUACUAGUAAAAGUUACAGAGAGAUAUUUAUGUUUAUGGGAUCCACCCACUGAGGAUUUUAGCUUUGCGACCUUAUGUUCGCCAGGAAAUUAGUUUGUGCGACAGAUUCUAAUAUCGGUGUCUUAGAGUUUUAUUUUCGUAUUUGUCCAUUUAUUCUUUUUGUUAUUAUCAUUACUACCGUUGUUGUUUUUGUUGUCAUUGUUGUUAUUUAGAUUCACCUCAUUAAUGCUAAGAUCAAUUAACUGUUUCUCACGCUGUGCUUUAUGGUGCAGGGAUGCUAGGCAAAUCAUUUGCUUCUCCUUUGCUGACCUUUAACUCCGCAUCAUGCUUCUCCUCUCUUUGUGUGAGUAUAACUUCUGUCUUACAUUUUUCUUUUCUUUUGCAUUUUGGUAGAAACCAUUGAUGAGUUAUGGCUGGGGCUACUAGACUCCAAAUUACUAUAUUAUCUCCUUCGUGUUCUAUUUCUUUCUUUUAUUUCCGUUUUAUUUUAUGUGACGAUGCUUAAUAGAUACAGAGUAUGAGAUGUUACAAUAUCAAUUGACAAGUAGAUGGAGCAAACAUCACACGAAGUCAAUACAACAACAACAAACCCAGUAGUUUCCCGGGGUCUGGGGAGGGUAAGAUGUACGCAACCUUACCACUAUCCCUGGAAGGGCAGAGAAGCUGUUUUCGAUAGACCCUCGGCUAGAGAACGAAGUCAAUAGUUAAUAAAUUUAAAUUUCUCAAAGUUGUAUAGAGUAAUAGUAUUAAUUGAACAACCAAUGGUGUGGUCUAAUGGUAAUAAAGUGGAUGAACAUCAGCGGGUAACCAGUUUCAAAUUCUAGCAAAGACAAAAUGUUUGUGCUGGUUGGAGGUAGCACAUAUCCACUGGAAUAAUUGAGGUGCUCCCAAUGGCCUGGACACCACCGUUACAAAAGAAAAAGUAUGAAUGGAAUGGUGUGAAAUUAUUUGUAACAAUCAAAAUGGAGAAGGCGUCAUAUAAGUUGGAAAAGAGAAUAUUUUUAUUUCAUUUUUAAAUUUAUUGGUUGAUAACUAAUUUUUUCUUUGUUAUUCUCUUGGUACUUGUGUACUUACAGACUUCAUAAAAUUGCAAUGUUACAAAAUCUUCAGCUAGUCUGUGAUGGUGGAAUGCCUAUAUCAUCUAUGAUGUUACAAAAUCUAGGGGAAGGAUGAGCAAUUCUCUGACAUGCUUUUAGGUUUGGAAAAGGGUCAAACAAAGAAGAAUAGAUAUAGGACUUUUAUAUAGUUAACCCCAGCUAGUUUGAAACUGAGAUAUAAUUGAUUGAUGGAUCAAUUGAUGCUUUUAGAUUUGAAAUCUUGGAAAGGCUGCAUACUUUUAAGUUGAAUUUUUUUUUCAUAACCUUGCAUUUUGAAACAAGUGUGUAUCAGAUUCUGCCUAAGCAAGAUCGGUAGAAAGAUGAAGGUUAAUUUAACUCCUGUGAGAUGAUGAUUUUCCGAAGAAUGGUUAUUUGAGGAUAUUGAUAUAGCUGACGCAACUAGUUUGGGAUUGAAAAGUAGUUGUUUUAUUGUUGCUUUUGAUAAUGACAAAAUCAUUCAUUUUUUCCGUGAUGUUCAGUCUUCAAUAUCAGCCCAAUAUACUCUCUGGCGAAAGUAUCUUAUACUAAUACCUUUUUCUUACUUAACAGUGUGAUUCCGGCUCAACAGCAGCAAACAAUCUAGUAGGGUAUGUAAAUUGCUCGAAUAACAUUACAUCAAAUGUCACCAAAGGAUCUUGGACAUCUGGUUAUUAUCUGUCCAAGAAAUGGAAGUUGCAUUCAACAGCUACUGACAAUAUAGUAUUAACUGAAGAAGAGAAGAAAACAUGGAAUGAUAGCAGACAAGCUCUGUCGGCAUUCAAAUUUAGCCCAGAGGAGGAAGACAAAAUCUUAGGAAAAGCAUUUGGCCAGAUACAUUCACCUUACUGGUAUGAAGAACGGAAGAAAGAGGUUCCAAGACUUGAAGUUGUGAAUGAGAUAUUGGAUUAUCUAAGGAGCUUAAGCCUUACCGAUGAUGAUCUCACUAAACUUCUCAAGAAAUUCCCAGAAGUUCUUGGAUGUAGCCUUGAAGAUGAAAUGAAAAACAAUGUGGAAAUCUUGGCGAAACAAUGGGGAAUUGAAGGUAAAACUCUGACAAAAGUGCUGCUUCGAAAUCCAAAAGUUUUAGGCUACAACGUCGAUUGCAAAGGUGAUUGUGUGGCUAAAUGCACUCGCUGUUGGGCUCGGUUCUAACUGUAUUCUUGUUGUUUCAUUCUCAUCCUUUUUUUCUUUAUGUAUAAUAAUGUUUUACAUUUAAUCAUUCUUCAAACCUUGUAGUAUCUAAUUAUACAUGAUGAGGACAAUCGAGUGGUGAUUCAGCGGUAAAGCUGUCAUCCCGCAUCAUAGGGUUCUAAGAUUCGAUUUUCACCAAAUCUUUAUGUUGUCGCAAACUUAAGAUAUUAAAUAUAAUGAGCAGCACCAUCCCCGUUCCCCUGAAAAAGGGAAAAGGAAGAGCUUCUAAUUAAGUGCAGAUGGAUCUUUCUUGGCUACCACGAACAAGUUGUUAAUUAGUGUAAAAAUCUUGUGGUAAAUGGAGGUAGCGAUGGAGAAGAUGAAGGAGAAGAUAAAGGAGAAGAUGAAGGAGAAGAAGAAUAAAAAAAUUAUUUUGUCUAAAUGGGAACUGAAGCCAAGUUUAAGGGGCCGUAUAGAUAUUUGGCCUAUUUUCAUUAUAAUCAUAUAAUAGAUCCUUAAGAAAAACUAGAAACUGCUGUACUUCACUUGAAUGGUAGAGCUGAAUCUUGGUAUUUUUCAUAUCAACUAGGUAGGGGAAUUGUGAGGUGGUCGGAUUUUGUGGAGGAAAUUUGCAAGAGGUUUAAUAAUUCUGAUAAUAGCAAUCUGAAUCUACUUGGAAAGUUCAAAAGGAUUGAAUAGAUAGGUACUGUGAAUGAGUAUCUUGAGAAAUUUGAAGAUCUUAAAGCUUGGGUGUUGAUUAAACACCCAACCAUCCCUGAAGAAUUCUUUUUAGGGUUCUUAUUGAAGGCCUUAAGGAAGAAAUUAGACACAGUUAAAAUGUUGGACCCCUAUUUAUUGAGUCAAGCAGUAGAGAAAGCUAGACAUAAGGAAGAUCUGUUAGAGUCAAUGAACAUAUAGGGAAAGCUAGGAAUUAACAGACAAAGAGUUCAGUAUAACACUAAUCAUAGUGCAUUGAGUGUUAAAAAUUCUGAUUAUGGGAAAAGAGAGGGUAACACUAACAUAACAAUGUCUGUUAACAAACUGUUUGAGGCUAGGAAGGCUAAAGGGGAGUGUUACAAGUGUGGGGAGAGAUAUUUUCCAGGUCAUGUGUGCAAGAAUAGACAAAUAAAUGCCCUAUUAGGUACUGCUGAACAAGAAGAAAUGGUGGAAGGGGCCGGCUUAGAAGAGGUGAUUGAUGAGGCCAUCAGUUUGAAUGCCUUAUCAGGCACUGCUAUUUCCAAUACAAUCAAGUUGAAAGGAAUGUAUGGAAAACAAGGGUUGAUAAUACUAGCUGAUAGUGGGAGUACACAUAGUUUUGUGGCUAGUGACACUGCCAAACAGUUGGGUUGUGUGAUCAGGGAAGCUGCUCCUAUGAGGGUGACUGCUGCCAAUGGUAUUCAUUUGAUGAGCUACCACUACUGCCCUCAAUUCAAAUGGAAGGUCCAGGGAGUGGAAUUUGAAUACAAACUCAGACUGUUGGAUAUUGGAGGUUGUGAUAUAGUACUUGUUGGAGAUUGGAUGAGGAAACAUAAUCCUAUACUAUUUGACUUCAUUGGGUACAUGUUUCAAGUCAGUGUCAAUGGGAAAAGGGCAGAUCUGAAAGGACUUACUGAGGAAGGUAAUCUUCAAGCUAUGACAACUUCUGGAGUGAAAUAACUACUGAAGAAAGUUCAAGUGCUGUAGGCACAUCUAUUUACCUUAUCAGCUUAGGAGUAAGGGAUAACAGAAUCCAUACCUAAGGAGAUCAAGACAGUGUUGAAGGACUUCACAGGGGUCUUUGCAGAGCCAAAAAUACUACCUCCAAGAAGGGAUCAGGAUCACUUCAUUCCUCUCAAACCUGAUGUAACACCAGUCAGUAUCAGGCCUUACAGGUAUAACUAUUUCCAGAAAAAUGAAAUAGAAUAAUAGGUCAAUGAGAUGCUCUCUACUGGCACUAUACAACCCAGUCACUCACCAUUUUCUUCCCCAGUCCUUUUAGUUAAAAUGAAGGACGGAAGUUGGAGGUUUUGCAUUGAUUAUAGAGAGUUGAAUAAGAUGACUAUCAAGGAUCAAUUUUCUAUUCCAUUAGUAGAUGAUUUAAUAGAUGAAUUACAUGGUUCCUGUAUCUAUUCAAAGAUCGAUUUGAGGGCUGGUUAUUAUCAAAUAAGAAUGAGAGAAACUGACAUCUAUAAGAAUUCUUUUAGAUUUCAUCUAGGCCAUUAUGAGUUAAGGGUCAUAUGCCCUUUGGCUUGACCAAUGCACCUGCAACCUUUCAUAGUCUUAUGAAUCACAUUUUAAAACCUUUUUUGAGGAAUUUAUAUUAGUAUUCUUUGAUGAUAUUCUAGUCUAUAGCUCUUCAAUGCAAGUGCAUGCAUUGCAUCUCAGAAAGGUGUUGGAGGUACUAUAUAGGGAGCAACUAUAUGCCAAACUGUCCAAGUGUUCAUUUGGACAGGAUAAGGUUGAGUAUCUAGGCCACAUCAUUUCAGGAAAUGGAGUCUCCGCUGACCCUUCAAAAAUUGAAGCAAUGAUCAACUGGCAUGUUCCUAAUUCUGUGAAGGCAUUAAGGGGGUUUCUAAGGCUUACUGGCUACUAUAGAAGGUUUGUUAAGUCCUAUGGAGUUAUCAGCAGGCCACUGACAAAUCUUCUAAAAACGAACUCCUUUCAGUGGAGUACAAAAGCAGAAGUGGACUUCCAACAGUUGAAGGAAGCUAUGUCAACAGUGCCAGUAUUGGCUCUAGCUGAUUUUACCAAACCUUUCAUUAUUGAAACUGAUGCAUGUGCAACAUUUAUGGGAGUUGUACUCAUGCAGGGAGGCAGGCCUAUAUCCUAUUUCAGCAAGGCCCUAGAUUUGAAACACAAAGGACUCUCUACUUAUGAAAAAGAGUAUCUAGUUGUACUUUCUGCAGUGGACAAAUGGAGACAUUACUUACAAGGGGGACACUUUAUUGUUAAAACAGACCAUAAGAGUCUAAAGUAUCUUCUGGAACAAAAAGUCAGCACAACAUUGCAGCAGAAAGGACUCACUAAACUUCUAGGGUUGGAUUAUGAAGUACAAUACAAAAGGGGUAUAGAGAAUAAGGUUGCAGAUGCUCUUUCAAGGAGACAGGAAGAAGAAUCUACUCUAUUGGCUAUGUCUACAUCUCAGGCCACUUGGUUGCAGGAGGUUUCUCAGAGUUAUGAGAAUGAUCCAAUAGCUCUACAGCUUCUGAGUGAGCUAGUGGUCUAACCUAACAGCAAGGUUGACUAUUCCUUACAUCAAGGAAUCAUCAGAUUCAAACAAAAAAUCUAUGUGGGGCAGAGUAGUGGAUUGAAACAACAUCUAUUGGAAUCCUUGCAUCAGUCACCCUUAGGGGGACACUCAGGCCAAUAAGGAACUUACAGAAGGGUACAAUCAAUGUUCUACUGGCCAAACAUGAAAUCAGAAGUCUUUAAGUGGGUAAGUGAAUGUGAUGUCUGCCAAAGGGUGAAGGCUGAGCAUGCACAUUCCCCUGGGUUGUUACAACCUUUACCUAUUCCCGAACAAGCUUGGCAUAAUAUAUCCUUAGACUUUGUAGAAGGAUUGCCUAUUUCUAGUCAGAAAAAUGUUGUAUUGGUAGUCAUAGAUAGACUAACCAAGUAUGGGCAUUUCUUAGCUAUUAAACACCCAUACUCAGUACAAGAUGUGACAGAAUUGUUCAUGAGAAAGAUCUACAAGUUGCAUGCUCUUCCCAGGACCAUUGUAUCUGACAGGGAUGCCAUUUUCACCAGCCAUUUCUGGCAGUACCUCUUCAAGGCCUUAGGCACUAAGCUCAACAUGAGCUCUGCCUAUCAUCCACAAUCAAAUGGCCAGACUGAGAGGCUUAACAACUGUUUAGAGACUUAUUUUAGAGCUAUGGUGUUUGGUAAUCCAAAACAAUGGCAAAGUGGCCGCACCUUGCAGAGUGGUGGUAUAAUACUAAUUACCACACUUCACUCAAGACUACACCAUUUGAAGCACUAUAUGGGUAUCCUCCGACCUAGUUACCAUUGGGCUCAUUACCUAAUAGUGGUCACAAUCCAGCAGGGGUCAACUUAGCACAGAGACAACACAUGCUUUAGGUUCUAAGAGACAACCUAACUCAAGCCCAGUCCAGAAUGAAAUUCUAUGCAGACAGACUAAGGACAAAAAGAACACUUGCAGUAGGGGACCUAGUCUAUCUAAAGAUACAACCUUAUAGACAAUCCUCAGUUGAUGUUCGCAGAAACAUGAAGCUAAGUGCUCGUUAUUACGUCCAUACAAGAUUAUACAGAAGAUUGGUACAGUGGCUUACUGGCUUGAGCUUCCAGCAGGGUGUCAGCUACACCUUGUCUUCCACGUGUCCCAGUUGAAGAGGCGGAUCGGCCCGGCUGUGACAUCCCAGCUACAACCUCCUAUUUGUGAUGAUGAAGGUCGAGUCUUGAUUCAACCAAUAACCAAUUUACAGCAUAGUAUGGUCAAGGUUGAUAAUGGUGCACACGUGAAGGUGCUGAUUCUGUGGCUAAUUUGGGUAGAGACGAAGCAUCAUGGGAUGAUUGGGGGGGGGGGAGGGGGGGCGUACAUUAAGAGCAGAUUUCUGGAGUUUGUCCCACAACAACGACCU